GAAAGCACCUAGCAAUGUAUUGGGGAUGUGAGACAGGAUAUGUGUUUUACCUUUCUUCAUGCUCCUGUGUAGAACAACUUGUCAGGUGGUGCAUUGGAGACUGAUGUGUUCCUGUCCUGUCUUUUCAUAAUACUAUUGCAGGGCAAUGACCCAAAACACACCUCCAGGCUGUGUAAGGGCUAUUUGACCAAGGAGAGUGAUGGAAUGCUGCAUCAGAUGACCUGGCCUCCACAAUAACAAAACCUCAACCCAAUUGAGAUGGUUUGGGAUGAGUUGGUCCGCAGAGUGAAGGAAAAGCAGCCAACAAGUGCUCAGCAUAUGUGGGAACUCCUUCAAGUAUUCCAGAACCACAACAAUAACAUUCCAAGUCAUUCGGUUUACCAAAAUCAUACAAACAUCUUCAAAUGGAAACAGCUGUGUCUGCGUGUGUGUGGUGGUGACUAUCAAGACUACAGUGAUGACCCGGAACAUCAUGUUCUAACCGGACAGCACUAUAGAGGGCAGAACCAAACCAAUCAGUUAGAAGUAUAUAGCAGGUGAGGGCCUUCAUAGCUGGCCGCUCAGAUGGGUGAGGGCAUACCAGCCAACUGUUUUUACAUGGUCCUUAUAGCCGGAUUUAGUGACCAGCAGUUUUUUACAAACACUUACAUAAGUAUUCACACCCCUGUGUCAAUACUUUGUAGAAGCAUCUUUGGCAGCGAUUACAGCUGUGAGUAUUUCUGGGUAAGCCUCUAAGAACUUUGAACACCGGGAUUGUGCAACAUUUGCCCAAAAUUCUUCAAGCGCUCUCAAAUUGGUUGUUGAUCUUUGCUAGACAACGAUUUUCAGAUCUUGCCAUAGAUUUUCAAGUAGAUUUUAGUCAAAACUGUAACUCGGCCCGUCAGGAACAUUCACUGUCUUCUUUGUAAGCAACUCCAGUGUAGCUUUGGCCUUGUGUUUUAGGUUAUUGUCCUGCUGAAAGGUGAAUUCAUCUCCCAGUGUCUGGUGGAAAGCAAACGAAACCAGGUUUUCCUCUAGGAUUUUGCCUGUGCUUAGCUCCAUUCCAUUUCUUUUUUAUCCUCAAAAACUCUCCAGUCCUUAAUGAUGACAAGCAUACCCAUAACAUGAUGCAGACACUAUGUGAUUCAGGCGCAGCUGAGAAUUUUAUCGACAGAGCGUUCGCUCUUAGUUUAGGGAUCCCCAUAAUUCCUGUGGUUAGACCUUUCCCGGUACACGCUCUGGAUAGUCGACCAUUAGGGUCCGGGCUAAUCAGGGAAGCCACCAUCUCCCUGGCCAUGGAGACGCAGGGGGGUCACGAGGAGAGAAUCAGUCUCUUCCUCAUUGACUCUCCUGUGAUUCCCGUGGUACUAGGCCUUCCCUGGUUGGCUUGUCAUAACCCCACCAUUUCCUGGCAACAGAGGGUGGUCGCAAGAGGGUGGUCGCGAGAGUGCUCUGGGAGGUGUGUAGGGGUUUCCGUUGGUGCUACCACGGUGGAAAGUCCAGACCUGGUCUCCACCUUGCGCAUCCCCCCAGAAUAUGCCGAUUUGGCUCUCGCCUUCUGUAAAAAGAAGGCGACUCAAUUACCACCCCAUCGACGGGGGGAUUGUGCGAUAAAUCUCCUGGUAGAUGCUGCACUUCCC
rnacentral:lncRNA from 1 species